rnacentral:rRNA from 1 species
GGCUCAUUAAAUCAGUUAUCGUUUAUUUGAUAGUACCUUACUACUUGGAUAACCGUGGUAAUUCUAGAGCUAAUACAUGCUAAAAAUCCCGACCUCUGGAAGGGAUGUAUUUAUUAGAUAAAAAACCAAUGCCUUUGGGCUUCUUGGUGAUUCAUAAUAACUUUACGAAUCGCAUGGCCUUGCGCCGGCGAUGGUUCAUUCAAAUUUCUGCCCUAUCAACUUUCGAUGGUAGGAUAGUGGCCUACCAUGGUUGCAACGGGUAACGGGGAAUUAGGGUUCGAUUCCGGAGAGGGAGCCUGAGAAACGGCUACCACAUCCAAGGAAGGCAGCAGGCGCGCAAAUUACCCAAUCCCGACACGGGGAGGUAGUGACAAUAAAUACUGAUACAGGGUCCUUUCGGGUCUUGUAAUUGGAAUGAGUACAAUCUAAAUCCUUUAACGAGGAACAAUUGGAGGGCAAGUCUGGUGCCAGCAGCCGCGGUAAUUCCAGCUCCAAUAGCGUAUAUUAAAGUUGUUGCAGUUAAAAAGCUCGUAGUUGAAUUUUGGGUUUGGGUGACCGGUCUGCGUCUACCGCAUGUACUGGAAACCCGGAUCUUUCCUUCUGGAGAACCGCAUGCCCUUCACUGGGUGUGUUGGGGAACCAGGACUUUUACUUUGAAAAAAUUAGAGUGUUCAAAGCAGGCAUUUGCUCGAAUAGAUUAGCAUGGAAUAAUAAAAUAGGAUGUGCGGUCCUAUUUUGUUGGUUUCUAGGACCGCCGUAAUGAUUAAUAGGGAUAGUCGGGGGCAUCCGUAUUCGAUUGUCAGAGGUGAAAUUCUUGGAUUUUUCGAAGACGAACUACUGCGAAAGCAUUUGCCAAGGAUGUUUUCAUUAAUCAGGAACGAAAGUUGAGGGAUCGAAGACGAUCAGAUACCGUCGUAGUCUCAACCAUAAACUAUGCCGACUAGGGAUCGGGCGAUGUUUUCUAUAUGACUCGCUCGGCNCCUUACGAGAAA